rnacentral:rRNA from 1 species
AGCUUGCUCCACCGAAAAUCAAAGAGUGGCGGACGGGUGAGUAACACGUGGGCAACCUGCCCAACAGAGGGGGAUAACACUUGGAAACAGGUGCUAAUACCGCAUAAUUGUUUUCCCGCAUGGGAGAAUAAUAAAAGACGCUUCGGUGUCACUGUUGGAUGGGCCCGCGCUGCAUUAGUUAGUUGGUGGGGUAAUGGCCUACCAAGACCGUGAUGCAUAGCCGACCUGAGAGGGUGAUCGGCCACACUGGGACUGAGACACGGCCCAGACUCC